AUUGAACGCUGGCGGCGUGCUUAACACAUGCAAGUCGAUCGGUAACAGGUGUAGCAAUACAUGCUGACGAGAGGCGGACGGGUGAGUAGUGCUUGGGGAAUCUGCCUAUUAGUGGGGGACAACCCGGGGAAACUCGGGCUAAUACCGCAUACGCUCUACGGAGGAAAGCCGGGGACCGCAAGGCCUGGCGCUAAUAGAUGAGCCCAAGUCGGAUUAGCUAGUUGGUAGGGAACGGCCUACCAAGGCGACAAUCCGUAGCUGGUCUGAGAGGACGACCAGCCACACCGGAACUGAGACACGGUCCGGACUCCGUACGGGAGGCAGCAGUGGGGAAUAUUGGACAAGUGGGGGCAACCCUGAUCCAGCGACGCCGCGUGGGUGAAGAAGGCC
rnacentral:rRNA from 1 species